AUAAAAUGGCAACGAUAUAAGCGCAGAACGUAUUACGAUAUUAUAAUCUAUGCCGCAUAGUGGACUCUGUGUACUGUUUAUUUUAUUUCAGGGCUUCAGAGCCACAACAGCAGCAAUGAUUGCUGGACUGCUGGAUGGUGGACUGGAGUGAACCUUUGGAGGAGCAGGGAGCUCCAAAAUGUCUAGCUACCAUGGCCUUGUCUGAUGUUUUGGAAGGAACUUGAUAUGAUGGAUGAACCAGAUUACCAUGUUACCUUGGAGCAGAUCUACUUCCAUCUCAUCUAGACUCUACAAUGCUAGCUAAAUGUUUCAUGAUAUAUCACAUAAACUGUUAUGACAUUUCAUAUUUAUGAACAGAAUGAUUAUACUUCAAUCUGAUAGCGUGUUAUAUAAAUGAAAUAUUAUAUUGAAUCUACUAUGAUGUCAGGCUAAAGCACUUUGAAAAGUUUGUAACCAGAAAUGAACUUUCAUCUGGCCAGGCCAAAUACCAUUCAAGCAAAGGCAGUCUGUCAGUACCAAACAGUAAGUUUGAUUCUCUGUAAACAUAAAUGUUACCUAGCUGA